UAUGACCUACGGGGGGCAGCAGUGAGGAAUAUUGGUCAAUGGUCGGGAGACUGAACCAGCCAAGCCGCGUGAGGGAUGAAGGUACAGAGUAUCGUAAACCUCUUUUGUCAGGGAACAAAGGCGGGGACGUGUCCCCGGAUGAGUGUACCUGACGAAAAAGCAUCGGCUAACUCCGUGCCAACAGCCGCGGUAAUACGGAGGAUGCGAGCGUUAUCCGGAUUUAUUGGGUUUAAAGGGUGCGCAGGCGGGCUGUUAAGUCAGCGGU
rnacentral:rRNA from 1 species